rnacentral:lncRNA from 13 species
UUACAGGCAUGAACCACUGUGCCAGGUCUUAAUUUAUAGCAAUUACUUAUUUUUUUAUUGCUCUACUUUUUGGUGUUGUUGAAGAUAAUGGAUCUUCUAGUUAUUAGUGCUAUGUAACAAACUACCCUAAACUUAGUGUCAUAAAACCACCACCAAUUUAUUGUGCUUACAGAUUCUGUGGGGCAGGAAUUCAGAAAUGGCGCAGUUGGGAAUGGCUUCUCUCUGCUCUAAGCUGUCUGGGGACUCAGCUGGGAAGAUUCAGCCUGAGGAUGACUUCACAAUUGGGAAAUAGAAGCAGCUGAAGGAUUGUUUACUCACGUGUCAGUGGCUGGGACUGAUGCAUUCAGAAACUAGGACUGCUGACCACAGCACCUACACAUGGCCUCUCUCUGUGUCUUGGCUUUCUCACAAAAUGGCAAGUCACACUUCUUACAUGGCAGCUUAGGGAUACAAAUGCAAGUGUUCCAGCCACAAGGAAGAAAAAGUGUGAUACAUUCUCCUGAGCUUCAGAGGGAAUCACUGUCAGUGACUGAAUUGAACUCAGAUGUUUCUGACACAUAAAUCAACAUUUAUAUAAUCACCAUUUCUUUGCCAGCCUUUUGAAAAAUGUUGACUUACACUGUUUGAUCUCAUAUUUAACAAUUUAUUUUCUCAUACUUGAGACAUCAUAAUACUUAGUGUCAUAGGGUGAGGGGCCAGUUAAAUAGAACCUGCUGUGAUGAGAUUUCUAAUCUAAUGAAAGAGAAGUCAGAGGUGAAAAGCUCUAAGAUCACAGAUAAAAGGCACAGACAAAUGCAUCCACAACUAAUCACAGCUCUACAGAGUUAGUGUAGGCUUGGAGACAGUUGAUGGAUUGAAUAGAGUAUUAUGCAUUAAGAAGAGAAAUUACUGGUCAGGCAAGGUGGCUCAAGGUGGCUAAUCUCGGCACUUUGGGAGGCUGAGGUGGGUAGAUCACCUGAGGUCAGGAGUUCGAGACCAACCUGUCCAACAUGGUGAAACCCCAUCUCUAUUAAAAAUACCAAAAAAGUAUCUGGGUGUGGUGGCAUGUGCCUGUAAUCACGCUACUCGGGAGGCUGAGGCAGGAGAAUCACUUGAACCAGGGAGUCGGAGGUUGCGGUGAGCUGGGAUCGUGCCACUGCACUCCAGCCUGGCGACAGAGUGGGACUUCAUCUAAAAAAAAAAAAAAAGAAAAAGAAAUUAUUACUGGGUAUGCACAUUUUUCUAGAAACAAUUAAUUAGCAUUUUACCACCUAUUUCACCACCAAAUCUAAACAUUGCCAAUUCUGCUCUAUACCUAAAGAGUGAUCAUUUUUAAGUUAUAAUUUCAAACAUGGACAAUAGCAGACCUUUUGUAAAAUUAACAAUUAUUCGCUGAUUUAUAUAGUGAGUAGUAUAAUAAUCCAUGUACUCACUAUCCAGCUUCAACAAUCAUCAACUAAGGGCCAUUAUUAUUUUAUCUGCACUAUGACUGACUUCCUCCAUCCUGUGCUGUUUUGAAGCAAAUCUCAGGCAUCACCAUUUCAACUUUAAAUCUUUAAUAUUUAACUCUAAAAGAUAAGAACUCAUUUUAAUGUAAUCACUCCAACACUUAAAAUUAAUAACCCUAUAAUAUCCAAGUGAUCAUGUUUUCGGUAGCAAGUGAAAACUGUUGGCCACUGGAGAGAUGUGAAGUACUGUCACUCUCGUAGGCUCUGUGGUUAAAUGCGACAUGUUUCUAGCCUUGCUGACAAGACCCCAGAAAGUGGGUGAUGAGAUUUCACAGCAAAUCUAAUUUUUAUUAUUUGUUUAUCCAGCAAUCUCUGCCUCCCGGGUUCAAGCAGGGAAGUCAUGAGCAUGAACUCUCCAUGAAAGGAAGAUUAGGGAACCUGCCUCCUCAUGAACAAUUCAAUUCUCCUUUGGAGAAGUAGAGACUGCAUGUAAUGAGCCAGUGCCAUGGUGUCACACAUUAUGUCAGAGCUACACACAUAGCUCAGGAAUGUGAGUGAGUGCUGUGGACAAGGAAGUGCUUGCACAGCCAGAGCACAGUCCAGAAGCCACAGUCUAUGGGAAUUUCCCCUGUCUGAUGCAGUUGGUUUCUGUUUCGUUGGAAAUAUUUUAAGAACUUACUUGACAUUUUUACUUAAAGGUUUAUUUAACCUAUUUAGUGCCGUUCACAAGGGUUAGAAGAAAACAUGGAGUCAUGUAAAAAAAUGUUUCAUUGUUGUUUUGUUUGUAUAGAUUUGGGGGGUGUUAUGUAGCUAUGUUACAUGGAUAUAAUGUGUAGUGGUGAAGUCUGGGUUAUGUCAUGUAACCAUCACCUGAACAGUGUACAUCAGGCUCAUUAAUUAAUUUUUCAUCCUGCACUCCCCUCCCAACCUUUCACCCCUCUACGUUUCAAAAAAGAGUUUUAGUUAUAAGGGAUAUAUGCAAAUUUGCCACAUUCCUUUGUAACAAGGGAUUGGUGAUGUUCCUUUAAAGAAUGUUAUAUAGGCUAGGUGUGGUGGCUCACACCUGUAAUCCCAACACUCUUGGAGGCCGAGGCGGGAGGAUCACCCGAGGUUAGGAGUUCGAGACCAACAUGGCAAAACCCUGUCUCUAUUAAAAAAUGUACAAAUUAGCUGGGCGUGGUGGCAUGUACUUGUAAUGCCAGCUACUUGGGAAGCUGAGGCUGGUGAAUCACUUGGACCUGGGAGGCAGAGGUUGCAGUGAGCCGAGAUCAUACCACUGGACUCCAGCCCGGGCGACAGAGCAAGACUCUGCCUUAAAUAAAUAAAUAAAUAAAUAAAUACA